UACGUAGGGUCCGAGCGUUGUCCGGAAUUACUGGGCGUAAAGAGCUCGUAGGUGGUUUGUCGCGUUGUUCGUGAAAACUCACAGCUCAACUGUGGGCGUGCGGGCGAUACGGGCAGACUUGAGUACUGCAGGGGAGACUGGAAUUCCUGGUGUAGCGGUGGAAUGCGCAGAUAUCAGGAGGAACACCGGUGGCGAAAGCGGGUCUCUGGGCAGUAACUGACGCUGAGGAGCGAAAGCGUGGGGAGCGAACAGG
rnacentral:rRNA from 1 species